rnacentral:rRNA from 1 species
GUGAGGAAUAUUGGUCAAUGGGCGAGAGCCUGAACCAGCCAAGUCGCGUGAAGGAAGAAGGAUCUAUGGUUCGUAAACUUCUUUUGCAGGGGAAUAAAGUGCAGGACGUGUCCUGUUUUGUAUGUACCCUGAGAAUAAGGAUCGGCUAACUCCGUGCCAGCAGCCGCGGUAAUACGGAGGAUCCGAGCGUUAUCCGGAUUUAUUGGGUUUAAAGGGUGCGUAGGUGGUUUGAUAAGUCAGCGGUGAAAGUUUGCAGCUUAACUGUAAAAAUGCCGAUGAAACUGUCGGACUUGAGUGUAAAUGAGGUAGGCGGAAUGCGUGGUGUAGCGGUGAAAUGCAUAGAUAUCACGCAGAACUCCGAUUGCGAAGGCAGCUUACUAAGCUACAACUGACACUGAAGCACGAAAGCGUGGGGAUCAAACAGGAUUAGAUACCCUGGUAGUCC